ACUAGGCGCGGCCAAAAGGAGCCCCAUCCAUCUAUCACACGUGUAGACAAAGGGGGACUCCACAACACAAAGCUAGAUGUGCCCUCUCAAACUUUUUCCACGACGCACGGCGACGCGCGCAGAGCAAACCGCCCCCAGGUGGAUUUGAACACCAGAUUAACCAGCAAAGCGUCUCUCCUGUUGGAGGUUAAGGAAAGAAAAAAUAUGUGGAAAUCACAUGGAAGAUGUACACAGUCACCUAUCAAGCGGCUUUUAAGACGCAGAGGAGGAUUAAGAGACUGUGCAGUUUUUUUUUUCUUUUGGAGAAGGUGAAGACUCAUCUCAUAAGGAUUUAAACUUCAGCAGCAGCAGUAGUGCCAGGCGGGAUGCAUUUUAGGCACACUUGGAAAUCUGAAACUCAUGGAGACACUUUGAGGAUUAUAAAAAUGUGCAGUGUGCCUCUCUCCACAAGACAACAUCCCCUGCAGCCCCCAAGUCGCUGGGAUAGCAGGAUAUUGCAUUUGUGAUCCUCCUCGGCCCUCGGCAUGGGGAGUGUGGGAGUGGUGAGGUCUGGGAGAUCACGACCUUAAUUCUCUCCAAGACAGACGGUUUAAUUAACACUGGAGGAAUCCUCGCCGGCUCCAGACCUCUACAAUGGGAAUGUACAGGGGAAUUGGAUUGCUAAGGCCCCCUUCUACGUAGUCCACAUUGCAAGAAGACCACCUCACAGGGAUUUUCCCCUUCACCAGGUGUGGCAGAGUGAGAGUCAGAGAGGAAGAUCAGCUGGUCUAGACAGGAGGACCGUCAGGAUCUCAAAAGACACCUGCAUGAAGAUGGAGAACGAAAAUGAAGAUAGUGAAGAAAACAGCUUCAUGGAGAAAAAACUGUUAAGUUACACACAUUUGUCACAUGUAAGUUAACAUGUAUUUGUCAUCUCUGUUGUCACAUAACUUUUCAAACUGCAGUUCAAGUAUUGAACUUUCAGUAUGUUGCAGCAUCUGGUGGCUCUGGAGUCUAAAUUAGAAGUUUAGGAUGUGCAAUCACCAAGGGUUUUUUAAGUGCUACUUUUCACACAGUAUAACUGGUUGUGAAAAAGUCUGAAAAUCAUUAUACACUGAUGUUGUUUUUUAUGUAUUAUAUGGUGAGAGUCAUGACAGUUCUUGCUGGGAAGUUUUAAUUUGUGUUUCUCAAGAUAAUAUAAAUGUGUCUGUUAUCAUGAAAUUUUCAGUGCCAGCAUGUGCUUAUAUGGUAGAUUUGAAAACCCUGGCCUUGUUCAUGUUCACUGAUAUAUAACUAUGUGCUGUUUAUGUGCUGUUCACAUUUUGUUUCACAGAACUGUGCAUGCUCCUCUUUGCGGGACGUAAUCUUUGCUAAUGCUUUUCAUGUAUGUACAUGUGAUGGAACAUGCAGUCAGAACAAUGUAUGUAUCACAGGAUUCAGUGUUACACAGCUUUGACAAUCAUAGUGUCUGGUACAAUAACAUAUUUAUGUACUGUAAAUGCACUGUAUCUGUUAAGAAGUAUUAUCCCAAUUCGGUCACAGGAGGACAAAGACAACAUUAAGGACAUGUACUCAUGCAAUAUGUAAAACUCUGUGGAGAAAUGUUCCCAGAUUAUAGUGCUCUCAUGUGACAAAAACUGUAUGCACAGCGUUUCCCUUUUAUCACCACAACAUAGAAAAUUAAUGAACAUUGUAUUGUUCUGCGAUACAUCUCUGUACUGUAAGGUUGGAUGAGGAAUUUUAAUGGUCACUCAACAGACUCGUGAGAACAUGGAACUACACUUGUAGCAUUAAAAUUCACCAGCAGCCCAGAGUAUCUCUUUCUUAACAACUUUCCCCACACAUGUUCUUUAAAGCCCUUUAAGUAGCUGAGUGGCCUGCUGCAGGGUGCUGUGGUAAUGAUGGUAACUUGAGAUAUAAAGUGGGCAUAGAUACAUUGGUGUUUAAAAUGAAUAAGUAAAUACCCUUCUUGAACUUUGUUUACAAUAUGUCUGUGGUUCACUUACUAUACAUUCUUUAUCUUCACAAGUCCAAUUUGACCUGAAAACAUCUUUCAGCAGUAAUAAAAUGUGUAGGCCUACCUUAGCUAUCAUCCCCAGUUAUGUGGUUUCUUUUUUUUUUACUUUAUAGUCAACUCAGACUUUACUUACCUAUUUUCUUAUAUUAAAAAUUGCAUAUUUUCACAACCAAGCUGUCUUCUUUGCAUAUUACUGACCACUAGUCCAUACCCAUUGAGUGCACAGUUGCCCACGUACAGUUUCACAUGGUGUGUGUUUGGGAUACAGGUCAUAGGAAACUGCAGAUUAAAUAGUCAACUGAACCCAUUAAGAAGAGCAAUGUAUUCAGACAGAGUUUUUGUGAAUUUGUUAGUACGAUUGCUUUAUUGGAAGUACAGUAGUACCAUUGCCAGUAGUGGGAUAGUUAGUGAGCUAAAACUGUACAUUAGUAGUUGAGGCAGCACGUUGAAAGGCAGAUAGUUAAAGUGUUUAUAUGUUGUAUUGACUUAAAAGUGGGGCGCACUGGUAGAAUGACUGACUGACUGACAGAAUGACACACUGACAGUUUCUGUGAUUAUGUACAGCAUACCAUACCAUGACUUAGUCACACCAACAAAAAAAAAAACGUUGGGCCACAAGGGGAGCCACAGCGAUCGGUCGCAUUUUAGCCAUUUUUAAGCAUUUUUCUGUUGUUAUAGCACCACCUAAUUGCCAAUUAGAGUUAAAUUUCUCCAGUCACCUUGAGGCGUCCUGUUCUACAUAUCUACCAAGUUUAGUAAAAAUCGAUAUGGCGGUUAGGCCUAGAUAAGAAAUUAGCUCUCUAGCGCCCCCAUUUUGUUUGACGGGGCCAAUAAUGGGGUCAACUUUUGCUAACAGGGAACUUUAGAUAUUGGUCCCUAGAUUAGGGACCAACUUUAGAUAUUGGUCCCUAGAUUAUGUUCAUGCAGAUCGGUCAAACUUCCUAGGAAGAGAUCGAUUUGAAGUGUUUUUCAAAAAAUUCAAAAUGGCGGAAAAUCUGUAUAACCGGAAGUUAUGGGUUCUUGAGGCAAAUUUGUUCCUCAUGAAGAGAGGGAUCUCUGUGCAAAGUUUCAUGUCUCUACAACAUACGGGGCAUGAGAUAUGCUCAUUUAAAGUUCGCAUCCCUCCAUGACCCUCUGCCUCUGUGCCAAAUUUCACAUGGCUUGACCAAGUCAGUGAGGAGAAAAACGUGGAACAGGCACACAGACACACCCACACACACCCCCACAGACAGACAGACAGACAGACAGAGUUUUCGUCAUUAUAUAGUAAGAUAUUUGCCCUUACAUCAUUAAUAAUCAUAUCUGCUACUUCUUUUUGUGUAACCUAAAUGCUAUUGUUAAUUCAUGUAUUUUAGAUCCUAACGAUAUGAGGCGGUCUUUGUGGAGAAAAAGCUUGUUUAGUGGACUAACUUUGCACUUGAAGGUUGCCUGUUCAGUUACGUUUUAACUUCAUGUCACUUGAAACAAAUUUAGAUGAUAUGAGACAGGUUGAAAUAAACUGAAAUUUCCCUUCAAGAGAGGAUCUGUCUCCAUCCUGCUGUGUACUCUCAAGAGUGACCCAACCACCACACACAACCCUCAUGUUACAAUAGGCUAAUAAAAACAAGACCGAUGGGGCUUUUCCACUUGUUCUCUUGCCCACACUGAGUCAAACCAUGCCAGCCUGAUUUGCAUUCCCACUGUCAAUUUAAACAUGCCAGGCCAUGCCAAGCUGCAUGAGGGAAGGACCAUCUCUGGAGCCGGGCCAAAAGGACAUCCAGUUGCCUCCAAGUGGAUAGCAGUGAUGUCUCGCCGACUGCAGCCGAUCCCUGAUGACCCCCUUUUCCCCAGCAAGAGUGUGUGUUGCAUGACUCAACUGAUGUCUCUGUAUAAGACCAGAGAGAAAGACAUUGUGAAAAGUCUUAUUGUAUUCAGCGCUCAAUACUUUUGUAGCUUCUAACUGAAUUUCUGUGGUUUGGAGUUUAGUUUCUCUCCUGUGCCCCUGUUCGUAGUUUCAGAUAUCUGCUUAAGUUAACUGUCUCAUGUUCACUUUAAGCUGUAAAAGUGUUGAAAACCCAACAUUUUCAUAUUUUGCUACUUCAAAAUAAAGGUCUUUACAUUACAAAAUAAGGGGGAACUUUUAUUGUGAAGAAGUUAUAGGAAAUGGAAUGUGUUUAUCACUGAAUUAGCGAGUAGCUCUGUGGGGCUUUAAAAAGAUGCUUCAUUAGCUAAAUGCUAACAUCAGCAUGCUAUUAUAUUGACAAUAACAAUACUAAAGUGCUGAUGUUUUCUAUAUUUAUCAUCUAACACAAACUAAAUAGCACUAAAAACAAUUGAGGCUAAUGGGAGUGACACUAGUUUGGUCCUAUUUUUUUUUUUAAAUCACAAUCAAUCCAGUAGUUGUAUCACAAAUGUCAGCCACAUAGGAGCACUACAGGAAAGGUCAGGGGGUCACUAGGAUAUAUCAUCUAGGAAUCUGUAAAUGUCUACACACAUUUCAUGUUGUAGAUGUUGAAACAUUUCAAAGGAUAAGUACUACUGCAGAUGAAAAGAUCACCAGUCUCAAGGCUGCAUCCUCUGGGAACCAAAAUUUAAUGGCAAUCCAUUUGAUAGUUUUUGAGAUAGUUCAGUAUGGGCCAAAGUGACUGCUUGCGUGGCUAAUUAACAUCUUGAAGUGUUUAAGCCAGUCAUAUGUAAUUAGUCAUGGAAGAAAACAUUUUUUUUUCUCUGCACAAGAAAAGAAAAUGUAGAGAAUCCAAAAUACCAGAGCUGGGUUAGCCCGUUACACCCCUGCAGUGAACAGUUUUGAAGCCUCCCUAUCUGCCUCCCUCCAUCUUUGUCUGUGGUUACUAACCCCUGCUACAGUGGUCAGACAUGGGCCCCCUAUGUUUUCCACGGACAGUUUAUCACACUUCCUCUCUUUCUGCUCUAGGCCCCCAGUCAGUCGGCCAGACAGGAAAAUCAAAGACUACAGGACAUACCAUUACAGUGCAAAUGGUAUAUAUGGCACUCUACAGCAUGCUGAUGAUAUAUAACUGUUAAGUCUCACAAGAAAACACAAAACAGGAAGGAGGUCUGAGCUGAGUUUCUCUUUAACAGCCCUCAUAAGUGAACAUAAAUGUCUGAAUCACACAUUGGAUUGAUUUAAAGUUAGUCAGAAUGAUCCUGCACAUAUUGGAUGCUAUGGAAGGUAAAAUGAUUUUACUUGAAUGUGUGAAUGUUAACUGUAUGGAGUUGACUUUGAUUAA